UACAGAGGUCCCCGAGCGUUGUUCGGAUUCAUUGGGCGUAAAGGGCGCGUAGGCGGCCCUGUGUGUCGGGUGUGAAAGCCCACCUCUUAAAGGUGGAAUUGCAUUCGAAACUACAGGGCUGGAGUGUCGGAGAGGAUGGCGGAAUUCCUGGUGUAGAGGUGAAAUUCGUAGAUAUCAGGAGGGAACACCGGUGGCGAAGGCGGGUCUCUGGGCCGAUACUGACACUGAGGAGCGAAAGCGUGGGGAGCGAACAGG
rnacentral:rRNA from 1 species